rnacentral:rRNA from 1 species
UACGUAGGGUGCAGGCGUUAAUCGGAAUUACUGGGCGUAAAGCGUGCGCAGGCGGUUCGCUAAGAGAGAUGUGAAAUCCCCGGGCUUAACCUGGGAACUGCGUUUCUAACUGGCAGGCUUGAGUGUGGCAGAGGGGGGUGGAAUUCCACGUGUAGCAGUGAAAUGCGUAGAGAUGUGGAGGAACACCGAUGGCGAAGGCAGCCCCCUGGGCUAGCACUGACGCUCAUGCACGAAAGCGUGGGGAGCAAACAGG